rnacentral:rRNA from 1 species
UAAGGAAUAUUGGACAAUGGAGGCAACUCUGAUCCAGCCAUGCCGCGUGAAGGAAUAAGGCCCUAUGGGUUGUAAACUUCUUUUAGACGGGACAAAACCCCUUUACGUGUAAAGGGUUGAUGGUACUGUCAGAAUAAGCAUCGGCUAACUUCGUGCCAGCAGCCGCGGUAAUACGAAGGAUGCAAGCGUUAUCCGGAAUUAUUGGGUUUAAAGGGUGCGUAGGCGGACUAAUAAGUCAGUGGUGAAAGCCUGCAGCUUAACUGCAGAAUUGCCAUUGNUACUGUUAGUCUUGAGUACAGUUGAGGUAGGCGGAAUGUGUCAUGUAGCGGUGAAAUGCUUAGAUAUCAGGAGGAACACCGGCGGUGUAGACGGCUUGCUAGACCAUAACUGACGCUGAGGCACGAAAGCGUGGGUAGCAAACA